CACGGGACUGGAGGAAAUCAACAAGGGCGGAAGUACAGGAGAGACAGAGAUGUCUGAGGACUGCGCCCCGCCACUCUCAGGGAGACCAUGAGGACAGACACUUCUUUUGAAAGAUUUUGCUGUAAAGGGCCAUCAACACAGGGUCCCAAGAGUUCUCAGCCACAUCAGCUCCAAGAAGAACUUGUUUCAUUGAGGAUUUAGGGGAACUGUCUCAUUGGCGAAGAGAAGUUCUCCUCCCCCUGCCCCGAUGUGACUCGUUAAGGUUUGGGGUGCCCUGGCUCUUGGAGCUUUCAUCUAUGGUCUAAACCUUGAACACCAUAAACAUUAGGUUGGCAGUUCUUGGAGCUUGGGUAACUGCAUGCACAUGCCUUGUUCACACAUGUCCCAGUAUUUUUACUUACUCUGUUGAGGGAGUUUAUUCUUUCCUUUGAAUACAUUUCACUCCCACCUGUAAUAAACUCCCAAU
rnacentral:lncRNA from 1 species